UACGUAGGGUGCGAGCGUUGUCCGGAAUUAUUGGGCGUAAAGAGCUCGUAGGCGGUUUGUCGCGUCGACUGUGAAAACCCGAGGCUUAACCUCGGGCCUGCAGUCGAUACGGGCAGACUAGAGUUCGGUAGGGGAGACUGGAAUUCCUGGUGUAGCGGUGAAAUGCGCAGAUAUCAGGAGGAACACCGAUGGCGAAGGCAGUGAUCUGGGCAGGUACUGACGCUGAGGAGCGAAAGCGUGGGUAGCAAACAGG
rnacentral:rRNA from 1 species